rnacentral:rRNA from 1 species
UACGUAGGGUGCGAGCGUUAAUCGGAAUUACUGGGCGUAAAGCGUGCGCAGGCGGUUAUGUAAGACAGGUGUGAAAUCCCCGGGCUCAACCUGGGAACUGCAUUUGUGACUGCAUCGCUGGAGUGCGGCAGAGGGGGAUGGAAUUCCGCGUGUAGCAGUGAAAUGCGUAGAUAUGCGGAGGAACACCGAUGGCGAAGGCAAUCCCCUGGGCCUGCACUGACGCUCAUGCACGAAAGCGUGGGGAGCAAACAGG